CGGACGUAGCCAAGUGGAUUAAGGCAGUGGAU
rnacentral:tRNA from 1 species